GACUUGAAGAAAAACGAGUAUUGAGGCGCCGCAGUGACCCUAUCUCUUCCAAAAUACAUAUUCCCUCACCUCUAUCGUCCGAUCUCCUUCCACGUCAUCAAUCCGCGUCAUUCUACGUUUCAACGGCUCAGAUCAAGUUGCAGAGUUACUGGUACAGCGAACGAAGAAGCUCCUCUCUUCCUUUCUCUCUCUCAUCUCCAAUUUCUAAUUUCAAAUAUAUUUUUUCCAAGAAAAAAUUAUUUUCUCGGGAAAAGUUUGUAUGCCCGUUUGUUUGUUUUAGAUUGUUAGGUUUUGAAACAUGACAAUCAUGGAACAAGAAGGUGAAAUUCUCGAAAAGGAAAACAAAAUUAGAGUUUUUGGCGAACCAGAAGAAGAAAAUAGCACAGAUGCUGAUAGUGAAACGAAGCAAAGCGUAGAAGUUGAAGAGGAAGAAGAUGACGACGACGCCGAUGACGACGGCGACGAGGACGACGGUGAAAGUGAAGGCGUAGAAGACGACGACGAUGGAGAAGACGAAGGAGUCGAAGACAACGAAGAUGACGACGACGUUCAGGUCUUACACUCCUCCGGUGGACCACCGGUUCAGUCAGCCGACGACGACGACGAAGAAGACGACGACGACGACGAAGAUGAUGACGGCGACGGCGGUGACGACGAUGAUGAAGAUGAUGAAGGCGUUGAUGACGACGAUGAGAGUGAUGAGGUUCAGGUUUUACACUCCUCCGGUGGGCCGCCGGUUCUGUUAGCCGACGAUGAAGAGGAUGGCGGUGAAGGCGGUGAUGAAGACGACGAGGACGAUGAAGGAGUGGAAGAUGAUGAAGAUGACGACGACGACGAUGAUGUGCAGGUUUUGCACUCUUCUGGAGGACCGCCGGUUCUGGUUGCAGAUGAUGAUGAAGGGGAAGAUGUGGAGGAUGACGAUGAAGAUGAUGAUGGCGAAGGUGAAGGCGGUGACGACGACGACGACGACGAUGACGAUGAUGACGACGACGACGAUGAGGAUGAUGUUUCUGAAGCAGAGGAGGAUAUGGGAACCGAAUACCUUGUUCGACCGAUAGUUCGUGCAGAGGAUGACGAAGAUGCUAGUGAUUUUGAGCCAGAAGAGAAUGGAGAGGACAAAGAUAUAGAUGAGGAGGAGGAAGAUGAGGAUGAAGAAGAAGAUGAGGCUGCUGGGAAGGUUGAGGACCCAAAAAAGAGGAAGAGAUCUGGUAAGGAUGAUUCAGAUGAUGGUGGAGAGGAUGAUGAUAGACCAUCCAAGCGAUAGGGGGCUGGGGGGACCCUUCUUGGUUUUGAGGACUGACCAUUAACAUAUAGAUAUAAAAACAGGUGUUCGACGACAGCUGGAGAAAAUGGGAUGAGACAGAGAGAAGGAUCUGGGGGUAGAAAAGUCCAAACCAAAAUGGCAUUUUUGGAAUCCAUCCAUCUAUGAGCUGGAAUCAAUUUAUUCUCAAAAUCCAGUUCCAUCAAAUUGCAUUAUUAUUCAUUUUUGUAUCCAGUUGGCAAGUUUUAAAAAAUAAUAUUCCUAGAUAAUUGAACAUUUAAAAUUUGAUUUGAUAUACAACUUCUUGUGACAUCACAAGGUUAAAAAAUCAAUGUGAAUAAUAAUGAAUUAGAUACA